AGAAGCAUGAUGUUGAGAAAGCUUUAAAGGAUCUUCUUGGAAUUGAAGAAGAACUUAACCAGGCUGUCUCUAGAGCGGAGAGUCUUCUUAGAAAUACUGAAUGAAGUCUUGCUGUCAACAAUACUUAAAGAUACGAUUUGAUCUCGCAAAAUAUUUGUAUUUAAAGAAGUAUAUGGGUUCAUCUUGGAUUGAUCGGGUGAACAUUUUAAAUUCAGAAAAAUGCCACUUGACAAAAUUUUGAAACGUAAAACAAAGCUUUCUCCAUCAUUUUGCUUACCGGUUAAAAUCGGGCUUGUGACUCAUAAAAUGUUGGGUCACAUGAAAUUAGGAGCCACUUGGUGUUUAAGAUGAUUGUUUCAAAUUGUAUUCUAUUUUAUUAAUACCCUUUCCUACGAAGUUACCUGUAUUUUUGUAUUAGUAUAUGUAUAAUAAUUGAUAUUAAUAUCAUGUUUAGCUGAAGUGCAAAAUUGAUAAUUAAUCAAGCUGAUUGAAAAAAUGCUCUUUUGAAAGAUUUAAAAAAAAAUAACAUUUCAGA